UCCUACGGGAGGCAGCAGUGGGGAAUAUUGGACAAUGGGCGCAAGCCUGAUCCAGCCAUGCCGCGUGAGUGAUGAAGGCCUUAGGGUUGUAAAGCUCUUUCACCGGUGAAGAUAAUGACGGUAUCCGGAGAAGA
rnacentral:rRNA from 1 species